rnacentral:rRNA from 1 species
GACGAACGCUGGCGGCGUGCUUAACACAUGCAAGUCGAACGGGAUCCAAAGGCUUUUUGUUUUUGGUGAGAGUGGCGAACGGGUGAGUAACCCGUGAGUAACCUGCCCCCUUCUUUUGGAUAACCGCAUGAAAGUGUGGCUAAUACAGGAUAUUCCAGGCUGGUCGCAUGAUUGGUUUGGGAAAUGGUUUGGUCUGGUGGGGGAUGGGCUCGCGGCCUAUCAGCUUGUUGGUGGGGUGAUGGCCUACCAAGGCGGUGACGGGUAGCCGGCCUGAGAGGGUGGGCGGUCACACUGGGACUGAGAUACGGCCCAGACUCCGACGGGAGGCAGCAGUGGGGGAUUUUGCACAAUGGGCGCAAGCCUGAUGCAGCGACGCCGCGUGAGGGAGGAAGGCCUUCGGGUUGUAAACCUCUUUCGCUGGGUUGAAAGGCCAUGCGUUGGGUGUGGUUGAUUUGAACUGGUAAAGAAGUACCGGCUAACUACGUG